rnacentral:rRNA from 1 species
UACGAGAGGUGCAAGCGUUGUUCGGAAUUAUUGGGCGUAAAGCGUGCGCAGGCGGGAUUGUAUGUCAAUUGUGAAAUCCCCGGGCUUAACCUGGGACGUGCAGUUGAAACUGCAAUUCUUGAAUACCUGAGAGGGUGGGGGAAUUCCUGGUGGAGAAGUGAAAUUCGUAGAGAUCAGGAGGAACAUCGGAGGCGAAGGCGCCUACCUGGCAGUGUAUUGACGCUCAUGCACGAAAGCGCGGGGAG